rnacentral:rRNA from 1 species
GAUGAACGCUGGCGGCGUGCCUAAUACAUGCAAGUCGAGCGAACAGACGAGGAGCUUGCUCCUCUGACGUUAGCGGCGGACGGGUGAGUAACACGUGGAUAACCUACCUAUAAGACUGGGAUAACUUCGGGAAACCGGAGCUAAUACCGGAUAAUAUAUUGAACCGCAUGGUUCAAUAGUGAAAGACGGUUUUGCUGUCACUUAUAGAUGGAUCCGCGCCGCAUUAGCUAGUUGGUAAGGUAACGGCUUACCAAGGCAACGAUGCGUAGCCGACCUGAGAGGGUGAUCGGCCACACUGGAACUGAGACACGGUCCAGACCCUACGGGAGGCAGCAGUAGGGAAUCUUCCGCAAUGGGCGAAAGCCUGACGGAGCAACGCCGCGUGAGUGAUGAAGGUCUUCGGAUCGUAAAACUCUGUUAUUAGGGAAGAACAAAUGUGUAAGUAACUAUGCACGUCUUGACGGUACCUAAUCAGAAAGCCACGGCUAACUACGU